rnacentral:rRNA from 1 species
AGAGUUGAUCAUGCUCAGAGCGACGCUGCGCAGCUUACACAUGCAGUCGACGGCACUUCGGUGUCAGUGCAGACGGUGAGUACACGUGGGACGUGCCUUCGGUCGGAUACUCAGGGAACUUGAGCUAUACCGGAUACGCCCUCUGGGAAAGGUUUACUGCCGAAGGAUCGGCCCGCGUCUGAUUAGCUUGUUGGUGGGGUAACGGCCUACCAAGGCGACGAUCAGUAGCUGGUCUGAGAGGAUGAUCAGCCACACUGGGACUGAGACACGGCCCAGACUCCUACGGGAGGCAGCAGUGGGGAAUAUUGGACAAUGGGCGCAAGCCUGAUCCAGCCAUGCCGCGUGAGUGAUGAAGGCCUUAGGGUUGUAAAGCUCUUUUGUCCGGGACGAUAAUGACGGUACCGGAAGAAUAAGCCCCGGCUAACUUCGUGCCAGCAGCCGCGGAAU